UUUGAGAGAUGGGAUGACACAGUAGGAUAAGCUAAGCACACUGUUGGUUAUGUGUGCCCAAGCAUUGAGGCAGUCAAAGUAGGCAAAUCCGCUUUGAUAAUGCUGGGAUGUGAUGGGGAGCGAAAUUUAGUAGCGAAGUAGCUGAUUUCACACUGUCAAGAAAAGUCUCUAUCGAGGUUAAAGGUACCCGUACCGCAAACCGACACAGGUGGGUGAGGAGAGUAUCCUAAGGCCAGCGAGAGAACUGUUGUUAAGGAACUCGGCAAAAUGACCCCGUAACUUAGGGAUAAGGGGUGCCACCAUCAGGUGGCCGCAGAGAAUAGGCCCAAGCGACUGUUUACCAAAAACAUAGGUUUCUGCUAAGUCGCAAGACGAUGUAUAGGAGCUGACGCCUGCCCGGUGCUGGAAGGUUAAGGGGAUCUGUUAGAGUAAUCGAAGCAGUGAACUUAAGCCCCAGUAAACGGCGGCCGUAACUAUAACGGUCCUAAGGUAGCGAAAUUCCUUGUCGGGUAAGUUCCGACCCGCACGAAAGGCGUAACGAUUUGGGCACUGUCUCAACAACAGACUCGGUGAAAUUGUAAUUCCGGUGAAGAUGCCGGAUACCUGCGACAGGACGGAAAGACCCCAUGGAGCUUUACUGUAGCUUGACAUUGGGUCUUGGUACUACAUGUACAGGAUAGGUGGGAGGCUUUGAAACCAGGACGCCAGUUUUGGCGGAGCCAUCCUUGGGAUACCACCCUUGUAGUACUGGGACUCUAACCAUAGGCCAUGAAUCUGGUCUUGGGACACUGUCAGGUGGGCAGUUUGACUGGGGCGGUCGCCUCCCAAAAGGUAACGGAGGCGCUCAAAGGUUCUCUCAGUACGGUCGGAAAUCGUACGUAGAGUGUAAAGGCAAAAGAGAGCUUGAUUGCAAGACAUACAGGUCGAGCAAGGAUGAAAAUCGGACUUAGUGAUCCGGUGGUUCUGCGUGGAAGGGCCAUCGCUCAACGGAUAAAAGCUACCCUGGGGAUAACAGGCUUAUCUCCCCCAAGAGUCCACAUCGACGGGGAGGUUUGGCACCUCGAUGUCGGCUCAUCACAUCCUGGGGCUGUAGUAGGUCCCAAGGGUUGGGCUGUUCGCCCAUUAAAGUGGUACGCGAGCUGGGUUCAGAACGUCGUGAGACAGUUCGGUCCCUAUCCGUCGCAGGCGUAGGAAAUUUGAGAAGACCUGUCCUUAGUACGAGAGGACCGGGAUGGACG
rnacentral:rRNA from 1 species